AUCUGAAGCAUGACAUCUGAGGCUGACAGCUUUCCCAAGAUUUCCGUACCAGGCCUGUAUACCUUUCUUUCAAUAAUCUUUUUUAACUUAUUUUCUCACUCCCUUCCAUGGAAGGACAAGGCCCUUGUCCAUAUUUCCCAGUCCCUUCUGAAAGAGGGAAACCUCUCCAAUUGCUGGAUCUGCCGUUGGAAACCUCAGUCCAUCCAAGAUAGCAAUGACCCUUUGGUUCACUCUGUCCAACAUUCCAAUGACCCUUUGGUUCACCCUAGAAGUAAUUUCGCUGGGGUUUCAGAGGCUGUUAUCUGUCCAGAUUGUUCUGUGGUCGCAUUUUAUAGAGUCAGUGCCUGCCUAAACUUAUUCCUUGCUUCAACUUGACCCAAUCCUGGAAUGGGAAAACAAGAUCUUUUGAAUAUUUAUAUGAAAGGUUCUCCAGAGUUGGCAAUGCAAGUUGGAUUAUUUGUAAACUUGCUGACAUAUCUGUACAUCUAGGUAACCUCUCAGAGUAUAACAACAUAAUGUCUAAGCCUUGGUUAAGUAAUGUUAAUCCCUCUAUGCCAGUGAAUGGAUCCAUAGGUACUAUCCCUUAUGCAGGCAUCUUAUGUACCCCCGCUGGUUAUACCUUCACAUGUGGAAGUCUGGGGAGUGGUCUUUAUGCUUGGGCAACCCAUUGCCUUGAUAGCUAGAGAAUACAAGGACAAUGUGCCUCUGUUGUAUUCACUGUCUUAUUCUCCCUACAUAACUGAACAGAAGCCUCUCAUUGGUCUGUACCAUUAAGCCUCUAUAACUGCCUUAAGUGAGAACUUCUGGGAGGUGUACAUAAUUCUGGCUUUGUCUCCACAGGGAGAGCUUUCUUCCAUGGAUUGGAGUGAGUGCCAAUGAACAAACGAUCAAGAGCCUCUCCCUGAUAUUAGGAAAGUUAGCUUACUCUGUAGCCAACACAGUUUCAGCUCAGCAAUGAUCCUUGCUAAGUCAUUGGCUAAAGUGGUUUUAGAUACCCACAUAGCCCUUGAUAACCUAUCUGCUGAGCAAGGAGGGGUCUGUGCAACAGCAAACACCUCUUGUUGCACUUGGAUAAAAGCCUCUGAGAUAGUAGAGACCCAAUUACAUAAAAUUAAAGAGCAAACACACUGGUUACAGCAACUUUUACCAGACAACCUACUGUCUUUUGAUUUAUUCACCUGGCUACCUUCUGGUCUGGGUUCCCAGUUUAGAACCAUCUUGCAAACUGGGUUUAUUAUGUUGUUUUAAAUUCUGCUGUCUAUACUUGUUAAGUUCUGCAUCUAUUGCUUGUCAAGCCUUUGUAAAAAUGACAUGCCUAAUAAGGUGAUGCUAGCUCAUCGCUUUGAGAUAAUUUCUAACAUUUACAACCUUGAUUUAAAAUGGACUUUUAAUAAAAACCUCCUGAGAGUUCUCCCUACUACUUUCCUUGUUACUCAGAUGCAGGCUAAUGAGGUUUCUGACUUGUGUACUUUCCCUUUGAUAUGGGACAUGAUACUAGGGAAGGUCCUUCCUGGCACGAAGGACCUUCCUGGUCCUUCCUUCACUACUUGCGGAGGUCCUGACUCAGUCAGCAAUCCUGAGAGGAAAGAUCUUGACCAAAAGGAGGAAAUGUAGAAUUAAUUAAAGAAACUUCAGCUAAAAUUGGAGUUGGAACAGGCCUGUACGGUGAGCUCUCACUCUCAACCAUGCAUCAUAAAUUACUCCAAACAGGAAGAGAUGUACAGCUACAUCUCUGACAGGAAAGUGCUGACUACUUUACUACCCAGCAGGCAGAAGAAAACUUCUCUCUGCCCAACAGCCCAGUCAAUCAGAGGCUAUAGCAGCCCAACCAAUGAGAAGCUUCUAACUUUGUACUCCCAGCUUUCUCCAAUGGACUCUUUGGUUAUACAGCCCAUCCCAGCUCCCCCUUUUCCCUAUAAAAGCAAGAUUCCCUUCCUUGUUCUCUGGACUUGCCUAUGGUCUGCCAUAGUUCUCAUAUCCCAAAUUGCAAUUCCUCUUUCAAUUCCCAAGUAAACUUGCUUUUGCUGGUAAAAUAACUGGCCAUUAUGUUAUUAAAGUUGACAAGGUAUAGCAGAACAAACAAAGGACUAGGAGCAAGGAGACCUAGAUAAUAAUUCUAACCCUACAGCUGAACUGUUUGUAAUUUUGUUCAAUUCAUUUACCCUCCCUUGGCCUUGUUUACUUGUCUGACAGGUGAAGAUACUUAUCAAGAUGAUCUUUUCAUUCCCUCUGAGCUCUAAAAUUCUUUAGACCAUGUGAGGUACAAGGGUUCUAAAUCCCUGUGCUAUGGAAUGUGAAGUACCUUAUGAAAUGUUCCCUUCAUUCUAUCCCCACUGCCAGUAUAAUAAUUCUAACACAUAAUAGGUAUUUAAAAAGUGUUUGUUAAUCAGCAUUUACCUCAUUGAAUAGUCAUAAUAAUCCUCCAAGGUAAAUAGUAUUCUUCUCCUUGUGCAUUUAAGAUGAUCUUAUAGAGGUUGAAUUUAUAUGCCUGAUAAGUAAACGAAUACCAUGGUCUGUCUGCUCCAAAGUCAAGACACACUUUCUGACACAUAGGCAAAUUAACUUCAAUGCAGAAUGUCUGUUACAAUUCUUAGCAACAGGAUCAACUUUAAUCUAAAAGCAAAACUAGAACAUAUCUGUAAUAUUAUGAAUUAUGGAAAAUAUUUAGUCAAAUGACUUUUUAUAAGAGACAGUAAUAGGCAUGGGGUUGUUCAUUGAAAAAUUAGUACUCUGGUCCUUCCCUCUGAAAGACUUUCAGAUUAGUUGGGAGACAUGUAGUAUAUAUGUGAACAAUGAGAAACGUAUAUAAAGCAUGUUACAAAACUGUGCAAGAUUAUAGGGCAAAUACUGAUUGUUGUCCCUGAACUCUUCACCCUUUGCAGAUGUCAGUGAUUAGACAUCUUGGAUGAUCUCCGAUCAAACUGCUUUCACUAAAAGAGAAGAUAAUAUUUACAUUGUAUUAAAAACCAGAUUAAGUAAUUCUGGUAUUUCUGUUCCAAUCGGACGGGUGACCUUACAAACUCCCUCCUUUACCAUAAGCAAGAUUGCUCCUUUAGUAUGUGUUAAUAUUUAGGUCUUUCCUUUGGUUCCUAGACCCAUCUUUGUCCAAGACAAUGUCUUGGUUCCCCUCUUUAUUCCAAAUUCUGUAACUUAAAGCUUAUUUCACCCCAUUCCAGCUCCAAGCAAAAAAUUUAAUUACCUAGGUAAGCCCUACCCCAGUGUCACACAGUAGGGAAUUGAUUCCCUCCUAGCAGGGAAAGGCUUAAGGUGGCAUCACAAUACUGAAUUCUUCUGUGGAGGGCACGAAUGUUCCCAAAACAAUAAGUCCAAAUAGCUUUUCCUAAACUGCUUUCAAUACAACUAAAUUAUUGAAAAGAAUGUUUUCAGGCAAAUUCCUCAAUAUUGAAUGCUUUCAGUUAAAAUACAGAUUGUGUAUAAAAAUUGUAUACAAAUUCUUCCUUAAGCUAGAUUUUAAAUGACUUCAAGCAAAUUACCGUAUACACGGAAUUCUACAUUCACUAAAUUUUAUUCAUAGCUGCUCACCUGUUUACAUACAUAGACAUCCACAAACACAUUGCCUUCUCCACGUGGUUGGGAGUUACUGUAGAUUAGAGGGCUUAUUAAGGGGGACUGCUUCUAGAAGUGCUGUCAAGGAAACUUUGACUGUAAUUUCAAUGAAAAGCACUUCCAUUUCCAAGAGUCCAUCUUUAACCAAAAUGUAAAAAAUGUAGUCAAACCCUUCUGCUUACUCAGGGUCUUCACCUUGACUCCCAUGUCUGAAUAAAAUGACUCCACUGCAAGGUAUAUUUUAGUCUUAUCUGUUUGGUGUCCUCUCUUUUGUGGAGUAUUUUAUAAGCUUGAUUAUAUAUAUUUAGUUUGUUCUUAUGUUAGGAUUUUAUAUUCUUUUUUUAACUUCCCACAUGGCACAAACCUUACCAGGAGUAUUGGAUGUCCAUGCCAAUGUCCUAGAGAGCCGAACCGACUUCUCACAGAUCUACAGUAAAUGGGAUAGACUGCUUUUUUCCAUAGUGGCAACUGGCACCAACCCUCUCUUCACUAGUUCUUGACCUUCGUAGAAGAAAGCAACAUUCCCUUGUCUGGAGACACUUGAAAAAAAUCUUACCUGAGGCAGGUUCUUCUCAAUGUUACGCUUAUCUUCUUCAAGGUCUGAUCUGCUUUCCCUCAUUGCCUUCAGACCGAUGACUGUAGUAAGAGCUCAGCUAGUCCCAGAGCAGAAAUACAGUUCUUGCUUUGGGAGGGAGUAGUCUACAUGCCAAAGAAGUUUCAGGACCUGGUGAGUAUGAAUAUUUCAGGAGAACACAUGUAUAGGGAUCUUGAGGAUACUGGAUCUGGGAUGGUGGUGGCAGGUGGGGAUAUAAAGCUGCGUGGAGUAUAGUUUAUUGACACGGGAGCACUCCUCCAUGACUUAGAGCUCAAGGUUCUGGCAACGACACAAGGAGCCCAUCUAACAAGCUGCUAAGAUGGAUCUUUGAAGCUUGUGCACGAUAAGAGCCUACUAUGAAUGAGGUGGAGAUGCUGGAACUGCCUCGGCAAAGUACUGAGGAAAGAAGCCAAAGAUUCAAAGAGACCCAAAGCCCACUCAUUGAAGGAGAGGUGGAUCCCCUUGAGGAAAGACAGUGCAAUGCUACUGCAAGUACAUAUGGUGCAUGACAGUGAAAGGAAUGUUGACCGAUGGCAGAGGAUGGGUGGCAGUGGCUGCCCAUCAGGUGCGUGGAGUACAGACCAUUUCCUUACGUUAUAUUUCACGGAGUCAUUCAUCAACACUGUCUAAAGACGAUCCACCUUUUCACUGUUUUACCUCCUCCAGUGAUUCUUUCAACUGAGGUCUGGGUAGAUGACAGCAGGAGCAGUUAAGAAUUGGCCUGGAGCCACCAAUGUUUAAAUGAGGCUUUAAGACUGAGCUCCUUGAAAGCAAAAUCUCUGGCUUCUUUUAUCUCUGUCUCCCUUGGAGCCCAGCACCAAGUAGUCAUCCGAAACUUUGAAAAUACAGCCUCUUGGAUGGAAUGGAACCAAAAGGCAGGGAUGCUUGGAGUGAAAAGGAAACAAGCCCCUGGUCUGGACUCAGCCACUCUGACAUUGUGACCACCAGCAACUUACUUAAAUGUUCUGGACAUCAGUAUUCUUAGUUGAAAAAUGGAACUCAUCAUGCCAGUUUUUGAGAAUAAAAAUAUUUUUUUGUGUCUCU